CAGAUAUCCCAACCAUUUCUUUCUUUUGUCUUUCACAGUGCUUCAGAUAUCCCAACCAUAUAUUUCUUUUCUCUUUCACAGUGCUUCAGAUAUCCCAAUUAUUUUCGUCUUGUGCUGACCACACCAGAAGAAAUGACGAAAGAAGCUUGCUUACGGAUCACAGAGUUCUGUCAAACGCACAGAAAACAACCAAUCAUUAACGGCUGCAAUGGACAGAAUUCGGACGACGAUCACGACAAGUAGCUAGUCCAACGGCACCUCAAAAGAACUUCAAAAACCUAGACGUCUGGAGGCUUCCAAGGCUACAAGGGACUGAUGAAAAUCACUUUAAGUAAGCUCUGAUGGAUCUUUUCAGCUUGGACGUAAUGUUUUCUCAUUCCACAACCCGUGUCCUUCCCUAGUCACAUGAAUAUGGAUACCACUCAAACAAAGGAUCUUAUUCACAAGAGAAUGACACGUGGUCUGUAAAAAGAAGGCAUUACGAACAAGCCGAAAAGAUCUAUUGUUUAAUUUUAGCAAGCCAAAACUAGGCGAACAGUAAAGCAGUUUCAUUUAUUUAA